CCUGGGAACUGCGUUNUGAACUGGGUGACUAGAGUGUGUCAGAGGGAGGUAGAAUUCCACGUGUAGCAGUGAAGUGCGUAGAGAUGUGGAGGAAUACCGAUGGCGAAGGCAGCCUCCUGGGAUAACACUGACGUUCAUGCCCGAAAGCGUGGGUAGCAAACAGGAUUAGAUACCCUGGUAGUCCACGCCCUAAACGAUGUCGAUUAGCUGUUGGGCAGCAUGACUGCUUAGUAGCGAAGCUAACGCGUGAAAUCGACCGCCUGGGGAGUACGGUCGCAAGAUUAAAACUCAAAGGAAUUGACGGGGACCCGCACAAGCGGUGGAUGAUGUGGAUUAAUUCGAUGCAACGCGAAGAACCUUACCUGGUCUUGACAUGUACGGAACCCUCCAGAGACGGAGGGGUGCCUUCGGGAGCCGUAACACAGGUGCUGCAUGGCUGUCGUCAGCUCGUGUCGUGAGAUGUUGGGUUAAGUCCCGCAACGAGCGCAACCCUUGUCAUUAGUUGCCAUCAUUAAGUUGGGCACUCUAAUGAGACUGCCGGUGACAAGCCGGAGGAAGGUGGGGAUGACGUCAAGUCCUCAUGGCCCUUAUGACCAGGGCUUCACACGUCAUACAAUGGUCGGUACAGAGGGUAGCCAAGCCGCGAGGUGGAGCCAAUCUCACAAAACCGAUCGUAGUCCGGAUUGCACUCUGCAACUCGAGUGCAUGAAGUCGGAAUCGCUAGUAAUCGCAGGUCAGCAUACUGCGGUGAAUACGUUCCCGGGUCUUGUACACACCGCCCGUCACACCAUGGGAGUGGGGGAUACCAGAAGUAGGUAGGGUAACCGCAAGGAGCCCG
rnacentral:rRNA from 1 species